GUAGUCAUAUGCUUGUCUCAAAGAUUAAGCCAUGCAUGUCUAAGUAUAAGCAAUCUAUACAGUGAAACUGCGAAUGGCUCAUUAAAUCAGUUAUCGUUUAUUUGAUAGUACCUUACUACUUGGAUAACCGUGGUAAUUCUAGAGCUAAUACAUGCUAAAAACCCCGACUUCGGAAGGGGUGUAUUUAUUAGAUAAAAAACCAAUGCUCUCCGGGGCUCCUUGGUGAUUCAUAAUAACUUAACGAACCGCAUGGCCUUGUGCCGGCGAUGGUUCAUUCAAAUUUCUGCCCUAUCAACUUUCGAUGGUGGGAUAGUGGCCUACCAUGGUUUCAACGGGUAACGGGGAAU
rnacentral:rRNA from 1 species